rnacentral:lncRNA from 10 species
CAGAGGGGACUUCCUCAUCAUGCUGGCAAGACCUGGCUGGCUUGGGGCUAUUCCCUGUCUCCUGGUUUCCUGGAAGAGCCUCCCUCUCGUGAACUGCCCCGAGUUGUACGUGCCCUAAAGUGAGGAAAGCAUCUCGCCGAGCCGGUCCGGAGAGGCAGGCUAUGUGCCUGUGUCCACUGCCUCCUGCCUCCAGUAAGCACACAUCGUGUGUCCAUCCAGCUAAUGGCCAGAUGAGCAACCUACCGCUGCACAUGUAUCCCUGGCUUGGGUGUUACUGCCGUGACCUUUAACCUCUUUUAACAAUUGGAAGCCCACUGUGUGCCACCACGCCGAAGGCUGAGCAUCUCUGGGGAUGGAGAGUGAGGCGGCAGAGCUGCAUGGGGCAGCGCAGGUGCACGUCGUCAAUUCUCUGAAUCAGAAAGUGAACUGGAGGCCUCCACUCCAUUGGGGACCCACAUCCUCCUGCUGCUUUCGUGGGAUCCGUGCUGGUCGCUUUCUCAGGACUGAAUUGAAACCGCCUUUGCAAAAACUAUAACAGAGGAAAUUAAGACAGUGAAAGAGAUCAGACCCAACCGACUCCAUCUUGCUUCUAACAUUUAAGCUGUCCUUGUUCAUUCCUGGGUGGAGGCCAAACUAACUUUGGGAAGCAAUUCAGUUUGAGAACUAAACUCUGAUUUUUUUUCUUUUUUCUUUUCUUUCUUUUUUUUUUGUGAUGGACUCUCGCUCUGUUGCCCAGGCUGCCGUGCAGUGAUGUGAUCUCAGCUCACUGCAACCUCCGCCUCCCGGGUUCAAGCAAUUCUUCUGCCUCAGCCUCUCAAGUAGCUGGGAUUACAGGCACACGCCACGACGCCCAGCUAAUUUUUUGUAUUUUUAGUAGAGACAGGGGUUUCACCAUUUUGGCUAGGCUGGUCUCGA